AACGAGGCCGACCUGCGGCUGAGUUACCUGCGGAAGGAUCAUUAACGAGUGUAACCUAUCCUUUUAAUAAAAGGGUGGUACCUCCCGUCCUUUGCAGGCCCCCUUUUUUAUGGGGGGCUUUUUUUUUAAGACUUUCUGCUUCGGCGGGGUUACUCCCGCCGGAACACCCUCAAAAAACUCUCAAAAAAAAACCGUUCAGUCCGAGAACUUUUUAAAAAUAUAAAAAAAACUUUUAACAAC
rnacentral:misc_RNA from 1 species